rnacentral:rRNA from 1 species
UACGAAGGGGGCUAGCGUUGCUCGGAAUCACUGGGCGUAAAGGGUGCGUAGGCGGGUCUUUAAGUCAGGGGUGAAAUCCUGGAGCUCAACUCCAGAACUGCCUUUGAUACUGAAGAUCUUGAGUUCGGGAGAGGUGAGUGGAACUGCGAGUGUAGAGGUGAAAUUUGAUAGAUAUUCGCAAGAACACCAGUGGCGAAGGCGGCUCACUGGCCCGAUACUGACGCUGAGGCACGAAAGCGUGGGGAGCAAACAGG